rnacentral:rRNA from 2 species
UAGGACUGUUACCUUGAAAAAAUUAGAGUGUUUAAAGCAGGCUCACGCUUGAAUACAUUAGCAUGGAAUAAUGAAAUAGGACAUCCGAUUCUAUUUUGUUGGUUUCUAGGAUCGAUGUAAUGAUUAAUAGGGAUAGUCGGGGGCAUCAGUAUUCAAUCGUCAGAGGUGAAAUUCUUGGAUUGAUUGAAGACUAACUACUGCGAAAGCAUUUGCCAAGGAUGUUUUCAUUAAUCAAGAACGAUAGUUAGGGGAUCGAAGACGAUCAGAUACCGUCGUAGUCUUAACCAUAAACUAUGCCGACUAGGGAUCGGACGAUGUUAAAUUUUAUUGACUCGUUCGGCGCCUUACGGGAAAC